CUACGGGUUGCUGCAGUAGGGAAUAUUGCACAAUGGGCGAAAGCCUGAUGCAGCAACGCCGCGUGUGCGAUGAAGGCCUUCGGGUUGUAAAGCACUUUUCGGGGAGAUGAGGAAGGACAGUAUCCCCGGAAUAAGGCUCGGCUAACUACGUGCCAGCAGCCGCGGUAAAACGUAGGAGUCAAGCGUUAUCCGAAUUUACUGGGCGUAAAGCGCGUGCAGGCGGGUUAGUAAGUUGGAUGUGAAAGCUCCCGGCUCAACUGGGAGAGGACGUUCAAUACUGCUGGACUAGAGGACGACAGAGGGAGGUGGAAUUCCCGGUGUAGUGGUGAAAUGCGUAGAUAUCGGGAGGAACACCAGUGGCGAAGGCGGCCUCCUGGGUCGUGCCUGACGCUAAGACGCGAAAGCUAGGGGAGCGAACGGGAUUAGAUACCCGCGUAGUC
rnacentral:rRNA from 1 species